rnacentral:rRNA from 1 species
AUUGAACGCUGGCGGCAGGCUUAACACAUGCAAGUCGAGCGGGGAAGGGUAGCUUGCUACCUGACCUAGCGGCGGACGGGUGAGUAAUGCUUAGGAAUCUGCCUAUUAGUGGGGGACAACAUUCCGAAAGGAAUGCUAAUACCGCAUACGCCCUACGGGGGAAAGCAGGGGAUCUUCGGACCUUGCGCUAAUAGAUGAGCCUAAGUCAGAUUAGCUAGUUGGUGGGGUAAAGGCCUACCAAGGCGACGACCUGUAGCGGGUCUGAGAGGAUGAUCCGCCACACUGGGACUGAGACACGGCCCAGGCUCCUACGGGAGGCAGCAGUGGGGAAUAUUGGACAAUGGGCGAAAGCCUGAUCCAGCCAUGCCGCGUGUGUGAAGAAGGCCUUUUGGUUGUAAAGCACUUUAAGCGAGGAGGAGGCUACUUGGAUUAAUACUCUAGGAUAGUGGACGUUACUCGCAGAAUAAGCACCGGCUAACUCUGUGCCAGCAGCCGCGGUAA